rnacentral:rRNA from 1 species
AGUGAACGCUGGCGGUAGGCCUAACACAUGCAAGUCGAACGGCAGCACAGGAGAGCUUGCUCUCUGGGUGGCGAGUGGCGGACGGGUGAGGAAUACAUCGGAAUCUACUUUUUCGUGGGGGAUAACGUAGGGAACCUUACGCUAAUACCGCAUACGACCUACGGGUGAAAGCAGGGGAUCUUCGGACCUUGCGUGAUUGAAUGAGCCGAUGUCGGAUUAGCUAGGUGGCGGGGUAAAGGCCCACCAAGGCGACGAUCCGUAGCUGGUCUGAGAGGAUGAUCAGCCACACUGGAACUGAGACACGGUCCAGACUCCUACGGGAGGCAGCAGUGGGGAAUAUUGGAAAAUGGGCGCAAGCCUGAUCCAGCCAUACCGCGUGGGUGAAGAAGGCCUUCGGGUUGUAAAGCCCUUUUGUUGGGAAAGAAAUCCAGCUGGUUAAUACCCGGUUGGGAUGACGGUACCCAAAGAAUAAGCACCGGCUAACUUCGUGCCAGCCGCCGCAGUAA